rnacentral:lncRNA from 1 species
AGAUAGAUAGAUAUUAUAUGUAUAUAUACAUUAUUGUAAUUUUUGACCAUUUUAUUUUUCUAUUAUAGCAACAACAAAAGACCCUGAUGCUGGGAAAAAUUGACGGCAAGAGAAGGGAGCAACAGAGGAUGAGAUGGUUGGACAGCAUUAUCAACUCAACAGACAUGAGUCUGAGCAAACUCUGGGAGAUAGGGAAGGACAGGGAAGACUGGCGUGCUGCAGUCCAUGGGGUGGCAAAGAGUUGGACACAACUGAGCGACUGAAGAACAAUAGCAAUACCUAUUCCUUGUUUAAGAUUUCAGAUAGUAUAGAAGAGUCACUUCUUGAUGGUUGCCACUUUUAUCACAGCCAGACCUCGGAGGACAACCCUUUGAAAGCAGACAGGGUGAAUUCCUGGCCGGUCAAAUCAUUAGGUUCUACUCCUUCCUUGCCUUGCUUUCCCGGCUCAGGGAGUCAUACUGGAGUCACUGUUGUACUUGGCUGUCAACUUAUUGCCUGAUUGCUAGUGAUUUCUCAGAAUUUGGGAUGGUACAUUUUCUCACACUUCCUAAGGACUUCCAGAUACAGCCAGUGAAGAGGGAGGAGAAUUCUAGUGCUGAAAAACAAAACAAAACAUAACCCAACAAAAUAAAACCACAAAACAAACAAGCA